AACGAACGCUGGCGGCAUGCCUAACACAUGCAAGUCGAACAAUCCCUUCGGGGCUAGUGGCGCACGGGUGCGUAACGCGUGGGAACCUGCCCUUAGGUUCGGAAUAACUCAGAGAAAUUUGAGCUAAUACCGGAUAAUGUCUUCGGACCAAAGAUUUAUCGCCUUUGGAUGGGCCCGCGUUGGAUUAGCUAGUUGGUGGGGUAAAGGCCUACCAAGGCGACGAUCCAUAGCUGGUCUGAGAGGAUGAUCAGCCACACUGGGACUGAGACACGGCCCAGACUCCUACGGGAGGCAGCAGUGGGGAAUAUUGGACAAUGGGCGAAAGCCUGAUCCAGCAAUGCCGCGUGAGUGAUGAAGGCCUUAGGGUUGUAAAGCUCUUUUACCCGGGAUGAUAAUGACAGUACCGGGAGAAUAAGCCCCGGCUAACUCCGUG
rnacentral:rRNA from 1 species